rnacentral:rRNA from 1 species
AUUUAGGUGCAGCCUUGCGGGUUACUGAUGUGAGGUAGAGCGACUGAUUGGAUGCGAGGGCUUCACCGCCUAUCAAGUCCUGACAAACUCCGAAUGCGCAUCAGUUUUACCGCGGGAGUGAGGGCAUGGGUGCUAAGGUCCGUGCCCGAGAGGAGAAGAAUCCGGACUAUCAGCUAAGGCCCCGAAAUGACAGCUAAGUUAAACUAACGAAGUCUGAUUGCUAAGACAGCUAGGAUGUUGGCUUGGAAGCAGCCAUUCAUUCAAAGAGUGCGUAACAGCUCACUAGUCGAGGGUCCGGGCAUGGAUAAUAAUCGGGUAUAAGGCAGACACCGAAGGCGCGGGAGAGCAAUUAUAAAAGUAUCGGUAGGGGAGCAUACUCACAGCUUCGAAUGGUGUACGUAAGUUAUCCUGGAGCGGUGAGUAAAGCAAAUGUAGGAACAAGUAACGAUAAGGAGGGUUAGAUUCCCUCCCGCUGUAAGACCAAGGUUUCCCGGGCAAUGCCAAUCAGCCCGGGGUC